GGUCGUGCUGAAGGCCUGUUUCCUAGGCUACACACAGGGGUCUUGUCCCUUGGUCUUUGGCCUAGGGAAAAGUCCCGGGACUUCCAGGAGAGUGCCACAUGCAUGCCCACAUAGACAUCCCUCAGUUCCUCACUAUUAAAACCUGCCAAGAGGCAAAUCUCGCCAAGAGGCAUGGUACGGAAGUGGUGACUGUCAGCUCCACUAGUUAAGCAGGCAAUGUGAGGCUGAUGCCCUGGCACUCUACUGAGGGCAACAAAGUGAGACUCUGUCUC
rnacentral:RNase_MRP_RNA from 2 species